rnacentral:rRNA from 1 species
GAUGAACGCUAGCGGCAGGCCUAACACAUGCAAGUCGAGGGGUAGAAUUAGCUUGCUAAUUUGAGACCGGCGCACGGGUGCGUAACGCGUAUGCAAUCUGCCUUGUACUGAGGGAUAGCCCAGAGAAAUUUGGAUUAAUACCUCAUAGUGUUAUUGAAUGGCAUCAUUUAAUAACUAAAGUUCCAACGGUACAAGAUGAGCAUGCGUCCCAUUAGUUAGUUGGUAAGGUAACGGCUUACCAAGACAAUGAUGGGUAGGGGUCCUGAGAGGGAGAUCCCCCACACUGGUACUGAGACACGGACCAGACUCCUACGGGAGGCAGCAGUGAGGAAUAUUGGUCAAUGGGCGCAAGCCUGAACCAGCCAUGCCGCGUGCAGGAUGACGGUCCUAUGGAUUGUAAACUGCUUUUAUACGGGAAGAAACACUCCUACGUGUAGGAACUUGACGGUACCGUAAGAAUAAGGAUCGGCUAACUCCGUGCCAGCCGCCGCUGUAACAC